rnacentral:rRNA from 1 species
GACGUAGGGCGCGAGCGUUGUCCGGAUUUAUUGGGCGUAAAGAGCUCGUAGGCGGCUUGUCGCGUCGUCCGUGAAAACUUGGGGCUCAACCCCAAGCUUGCGGUCGAUACGGGCAGGCUAGAGUUCGGUAGGGGAGACUGGAAUUCCUGGUGUAGCGGUGAAAUGCGCAGAUAUCAGGAGGAACACCGAUGGCGAAGGCAGGUCUCUGGGCCACUACUGACGCUGAGAAGCGAAAGCAUGGGGAGCGAACAGG